GACAGAGGUGCCGAGCGUUAGGCGGAAUCACUGGGCUUAAAGCGUGUGUAGGCGGACCGUUAAGUGUCUUGUGAAAUCCCACGGCUCAACCGUGGAACGGCUGGGCAUACUGGCGGUCUUGAGAGGCCUAGGGGCGAGCGGAACAGGCGGUGGAGCGGUGAAAUGCGUAGAUAUCGCCUGGAACGCCGACGGUGAAAACAGCUCGCUGGGGGCCUUCUGACGCUGAGACACGAAAGCCAGGGGAGCGAACGGG
rnacentral:rRNA from 1 species